CUUGAACGCUGGCGGCAGGCCUAACACAUGCAAGUCGAACGGUAACAGGAAGAAGCUUGCUUCUUUGCUGACGAGUGGCGGACGGGUGAGUAAUGUCUGGGAAACUGCCUGAUGGAGGGGGAUAACUACUGGAAACGGUAGCUAAUACCGCAUAACGUCGCAAGACCAAAGAGGGGGACCUUCGGGCCUCUUGCCAUCGGAUGUGCCCAGAUGGGAUUAGCUAGUAGGUGGGGUAACGGCUCACCUAGGCGACGAUCCCUAGCUGGUCUGAGAGGAUGACCAGCCACACUGGAACUGAGACACGGUCCAGACUCCUACGGGAGGCAGCAGUGGGGAAUAUUGCACAAUGGGCGCAAGCCUGAUGCAGCCAUGCCGCGUGUAUGAAGAAGGCCUUCGGGUUGUAAAGUACUUUCAGCGGGGAGGAAGGGAGUAAAGUUAAUACCUUGGCUCAUUGACGUUACCCGCAGAAGAAGCACCGGCUAACUCCGUG
rnacentral:rRNA from 1 species